rnacentral:rRNA from 1 species
UACGAAGGGGGCUAGCGUUGCUCGGAAUCACUGGGCGUAAAGCGCACGUAGGCGGAUAUUUAAGUCGGUGGUGAAAUCCUGGAGCUCAACUCCAGAACUGCCUCCGAUACUGAAUGUCUUCGAGUUCGGGAGAGGGAAGCGGAAUUCCGGGUGUAGCGGUGAAAUGCGUAGAUAUCCGGAGGAACACCGGUGGCGAAGGCGGCUUCCUGGACCGAUCACUGACGCUGAGGCGCGAAAGCUAGGGGAGCAAACGGG